rnacentral:rRNA from 1 species
AGCAGCCGCGGUAAUUCCAGCUCCAAUAGCGUAUAUUAAAGUUGUUGCAGUUAAAAAGCUUGUAGUUGAAUUUCGGGGUUAGUAGGUUGGUCAUGCCUCUGGUAUGUACUGGUCUCACUGAUUCCUCCUUCCUGAUGAACCUUAAUGCCAUUAAUUUGGUGUUUUGGGGAAUUUGGACUGUUACUUUGAAAAAAUUAGAGUGUUUAAAGCAAGCUAACGCUUGAAUACAUUAGCAUGGAAUAAUGAAAUAGGACGUUCGAUCCUAUUUUGUUGGUUUCUAGGAUUGACGUAAUGAUUAAUAGGGAUAGUUGGGGGCAUUAGUAUUCAAUUGUCAGAGGUGAAAUUCUUGGAUUUAUUGAAGACUAACUACUGCGAAAGCAUUUGCCAAGGAUGUUUUCAUUAAUCAAGAACGAAAGUUAGGGGAUCGAAGACGAUCAGAUACCGUCGUAGUCUUAACCAUAAACUAUGCCGACUAGGGAUCGGAUGAUGUUAAUUUUUUAAUGACUCAUUCGGCGCCUUACG